CGUAUGAUGAAUAUUUAUUUGGUCCGUGUUUAUGAACUUUUUUGAUUAAACUUUCAACCAUUACAUCUGAUACAA
rfam:Anopheles stephensi strain SDA-500 unplaced genomic scaffold supercont1.98, whole genome shotgun sequence.